rnacentral:tRNA from 1 species
GGGGCGAUAGCUCAGUUGGUAGAGCGUCUGCUUUGCACGCAGAAGGUCAGGGGUUCGAAUCCCCUUCGCUCCA